GUGCUUGCUUUGGCAGCACAUAUACUAAAAUUGGAACAAGACAGAGAGGAUUAGCAUUGCCCAUCCACUAGGAUGACACACAAAUUCCUGAAGUGGUCCAUAUUUUU
ensembl:snRNA U6 U6 spliceosomal RNA